rnacentral:lncRNA from 7 species
GCCCCUCUGCUCCCCUUGUGAGGAGCUUCAGGCUUCCAUGAGGCCUCUGCUCAGCUCCUCUACUCUGGGCUGAAUAAACCAAGGGACCUGAGCUGCUCCUCUUGGCCUUACUCAAGUCCAGGCCAAAAGUUCCAUUAAUUUCACUAGGGUCAAUGCAGCAAGCAGGAGCUUGCUCAUUUGCAAACUCUUGCAAAAGCAAAAUGGGAAUGAUUAAAUCUGGUUCGAUUCACUUCAGCUUAUCCACCACCUUAUCUUGUGGUAGAACUUUCAAGAGAAGAUAAGAAAUGUUCAUUUUAAUUAAAAUAAACAUGUCCACAUAGCUAGAGGAACUGUAUCAUUCAUCAUUCGGAAUAGCUACCACUUCUGCUAGACUAGAUUUAUAACUGCUCUAAUCAGAAGCCCAAAUAGCAUUAGGAAGAGCUGGAUUUUCUUGGGCUGAUUGCUGACGUGGAAGAGCUGGCCUACCAACCCGCGCAUUUUAGGCAAGGCUUCCAGAAGGGUUUCCAAUGGCCCAGUCUGGGAGCUGGGAGCAUACAAACAGCUGCAAAUUCCAUUGGGUCACUUGAGAUCUGAAAGCUGCCCAGAGCUGUACCACUUCAGGGUGCUAUUUUGUCAGGACUGGCAAGGAAAAAACAAAGAUCAGGUUGAGAAAGCUGAUGUGCCAUCUCCUUUCCAGCAAUCAGCACCACCUUUAAGUGAGCAACUCCGGAAUGAAGAAAAAAAUGAAAUAGAUGUAUCAGGCCCAAUCUCAAGAUACUUCAGCUACUAAGUAGCCUUUUUCAAACAGAGAAUCUUCAGAAACUUCACAGCUCAAGAUAGAAUUAGAAACUUCUUUAAAGAGCUUGCUGCAGAGAUGGCAAGAUUGCAACAGAAGAGACACAAGGAAAAAUGUCAGAACAGAAAAGGAAGAAAUUUUUUACUGAAAUGAAUGCUCAUUAUGGAUGGGCAUUUCCCAUAGCUACAAGGCAAAAAGCAAGAGGGAAGAUACAAAAAUACUGUUAGCAACUGGACUGUGUUAUUAAUUUUAUCCAUUAGCAUUUACUUGGUUCAUAAGCAUCAUUUAAUUCAUUCCGUGAUGGUAUUGUGAAGAUUUUGUGAUGUCUAGAUGCCCCCAUGUGAAAAAUUUGCUAU